rnacentral:sRNA from 1 species
GUAUCGGAAGCCUGACGAGGAUGAGAACCUCCGGGGGCAAGAGGUUCGACUCGAGCGCAGCGAGAGAACGUUGCGUCAGCAACGGCCCGCAGGGCGAGCCACGCAGUGGCGAGUCAUCCUCUAUCACCGACCA